rnacentral:rRNA from 1 species
UACAGAGGGGGCAAGCGUUGUUCGGAAUUACUGGGCGUAAAGGGCUCGUAGGCGGCCAACUAAGUCAGACGUGAAAUCCCCGGGCUCAACCCGGGAACUGCGUCCGAUACUGGAAGGCUUGAAUUCGGGAGAGGGAUGCGGAAUUCCAGGUGUAGCGGUGAAAUGCGUAGAUAUCUGGAGGAACACCGGUGGCGAAGGCGGCAUCCUGGACCGGCAUUGACGCUGAGGCGCGAAAGCCAGGGGAGCAAACGGG